rnacentral:rRNA from 1 species
UACAGAGGUCCCAAGCGUUGUUCGGAUUCAUUGGGCGUAAAGGGUGCGUAGGUGGCGCGCUAAGUCAGGUGUGAAAUUUCGGAGCUUAACUCCGAAACUGCAUUGAUACUGGCGUGCUUGAGGACUGGAGAGGAGACUGGAAUUUACGGUGUAGCAGUGAAAUGCGUAGAGAUCGGCAGGAACACCCAGGGAGAAAUCAGCCGCCUGGGCAAGUGCUGACGCUGAGGUGCGAAAGCGUGGGGAGCGAACCGG